UACGGAGGGGGCUAGCGUUGUUCGGAAUUACUGGGCGUAAAGCGCACGUAGGCGGCUUUGUAAGUUAGAGGUGAAAGCCCGGGGCUCAACUCCGGAAUUGCCUUUAAGACUGCAUCGCUAGAAUUGUGGAGAGGUGAGUGGAAUUCCGAGUGUAGAGGUGAAAUUCGUAGAUAUUCGGAAGAACACCAGUGGCGAAGGCGACUCACUGGACGCAUAUUGACGCUGAGGUGCGAAAGCGUGGGGAGCAAACAGG
rnacentral:rRNA from 1 species